rnacentral:misc_RNA from 1 species
UCAAACUUGGUCAUUUAGAGGAAGUAAAAGUCGUAACAAGGUAACCGUAGGUGAACCUGCGGUUGGAUCAUUAAUGUAAUCAUUAAUAUGCGUCUGCUGAAUGGUGUCAAAGCCAGGAUGCAUUGAUGCACGGUCCAUCCCUUCCAGGAUGGUACUGACCAACACCUAUGUGAACUGUUUCUGUCUCUGGCAGUGGGAGUGUUGUCCUGCUUUCUGCUGGCCUGCACUCUGUCGUCAACUACCCUUGUGGUGGUCGUGGACAAGCUGCCAAAAUCUUCAUAUACACCUUUUUGCUGACAUGUUUUACUAUGUGAAACACUCAUUCUAUAACUUUUGGCAACGGAUCUCUUGGCUCUCGCAUCGAUGAAGAACGCAGC